rnacentral:snoRNA from 1 species
CAUGGUGCCGCUGCUUGCUGUGCAAUGCCGACUUGCGUGAACUAGAAACGACGCUUUUACUGCUGGC